GUGCCAGCAGCCGCGGUAAAACGUAGGGGGCGAGCGUUAUCCGGAUUUACUGGGCGUAAAGCGCACGUAGGCGGCGCUGUAAGUUGGGCGUGAAAGCUCCCGGCUCAACUGGGAGAGGUCGUUCAAUACUGCAGGGCUCGAGGUUGGAAGAGGAGAGUGGAAUUCCCGGUGUAGUGGUGGAAUGCGUAGAUAUCGGGAGGAACACCAGUGGCGAAGGCGGCUCUCUGGUCCAUACCUGACGCUGAGGUGCGAAAGCGUGGGGAGCGAACGGGAUUAGAUACCCCGGUAGUCCACGCUGUAAACGAUGGAUACUAGGUGUAGGAGGUUAUUUACCCCUUCUGUGCCGCAGCUAACGCGUUAAGUAUCCCGCCUGGGGACUACGGCCGCAAGGUUAAAACUCAAAGGAAUUGACGGGGGCCCGCACAAGCAGCGGAGCGUGUGGUUUAAUUCGAUGAUACGCGAAGAACCUUACCUGGGUUUGACAUGU
rnacentral:rRNA from 1 species